rnacentral:rRNA from 1 species
AACGAACGCUGGCGGCAGGCUUAACACAUGCAAGUCGAGCGAUCGCGUGGUUCAGCAAUGGAUUGCGCGGGAGCGGCAGACGGGUGAGUAACGCGUGGGAACAUACCCUUCGGUUCGGAAUAACUCAGGGAAACUUGAGCUAAUACCGGAUACGGACGAGAGUCGAAAGAUUUAUCGCCGAAGGAUUGGCCCGCGUUCGAUUAGCUAGUUGGUGUGGUAACGGCGCACCAAGGCGACGAUCGAUAGCUGGUCUGAGAGGAUGAUCAGCCACAUUGGG